GUGGGCGUAGCUCAGUCAGGUAGAGCACAGGGUUGUGGCCCCUGUGGCCGUGGGUUCAAGUCCCAUCGCCCACCCCA
rnacentral:tRNA from 2 species